rnacentral:rRNA from 1 species
GAUGAACGCUGGCGGCGUGCCUAAUACAUGCAAGUCGAGCGAACGGACGAGAAGCUUGCUUCUCUGAUGUUAGCGGCGGACGGGUGAGUAACACGUGGAUAACCUACCUAUAAGACUGGGAUAACUUCGGGAAACCGGAGCUAAUACCGGAUAAUAUUUUGAACCGCAUGGUUCAAAAGUGAAAGACGGUCUUGCCGUCACUUAUAGAUGGAUCCGCGCUGCAUUAGCUAGUUGGUAAGGUAACGGCUUACCAAGGCAACGAUGCAUAGCCGACCUGAGAGGGUGAUCGGCCACACUGGAACUGAGACACGGUCCAGACUCCUACGGGAGGCAGCAGUAGGGAAUCUUCCGCAAUGGGCGAAAGCCUGACGGAGCAACGCCGCGUGAGUGAUGAAGGUCUUCGGAUCGUAAAACUCUGUUAUUAGGGAAGAACAUAUGUGUAAGUAACUGUGCACAUCUUGACGGUACCUAAUCAGAAAGCCACGGCUAACUACGUGCCAGCAGCCGCGGUAAUACGUAGGUGGCAAGCGUUAUCCGGAAUUAUUGGGCGUAAAGCGCGCGUAGGCGGUUUUUUAAGUCUGAUGUGAAAGCCCACGGCUCAACCGUGGAGGGUCAUUGGAAACUGGAAAACUUGAGUGCAGAAGAGGAAAGUGGAAUUCCAUGUGUAGCGGUGAAAUGCGCAGAGAUAUGGAGGAACACCAGUGGCGAAGGCGACUUUCUGGUCUGUAACUGACGCUGAUGUGCGAAAGCGUGGGGAUCAAACAGGAUUAGAUACCCUGGUAGUCCACGCCGUAAACGAUGAGUGCUAAGUGUUAGGGGGUUUCCGCCCCUUAGUGCUGCAGCUAACGCAUUAAGCACUCCGCCUGGGGAGUACGACCGCAAGGUUGAAACUCAAAGGAAUUGACGGGGACCCGCACAAGCGGUGGAGCAUGUGGUUUAAUUCGAAGCAACGCGAAGAACCUUACCAAAUCUUGACAUCCUUUGACAACUCUAGAGAUAGAGCUUUCCCCUUCGGGGGACAAAGUGACAGGUGGUGCAUGGUUGUCGUCAGCUCGUGUCGUGAGAUGUUGGGUUAAGUCCCGCAACGAGCGCAACCCUUAAGCUUAGUUGCCAUCAUUAAGUUGGGCACUCUAAGUUGACUGCCGGUGACAAACCGGAGGAAGGUGGGGAUGACGUCAAAUCAUCAUGCCCCUUAUGAUUUGGGCUACACACGUGCUACAAUGGACAAUACAAAGGGCAGCGAAACCGCGAGGUCAAGCAAAUCCCAUAAAGUUGUUCUCAGUUCGGAUUGUAGUCUGCAACUCGACUACAUGAAGCUGGAAUCGCUAGUAAUCGUAGAUCAGCAUGCUACGGUGAAUACGUUCCCGGGUCU